ACUAUAUAUCUCUAUGUAUCUCUCUAUCUAUGGCCUGGCACAUUAUAAGUAGGCAAAAAUACUUUAUGCUACUUUAUGCAGUAUUUAGCAAAUUCAGUAUCCACCAGUACCUAACAUAGUUCUUGGUCCAUAGUACAUAUUUAGAAAAUGCUGUUUCGUGACACUAGCCCCAAUUGCUGUGCAUGACACCUCUGAAGCGUCAGGAAAUGCCACCUCUCCCAACUUAACCUUCAAACCAGCACCCCGUGAAACUGCAGCUAGAAAACAACCCUGUAGUCCCAGUUCUGCCCCCUCCAUGCUGAGUGACCUUGGGUUGCUCCCUUUCCCUCUUUGAGCCGCAGAGUUCUCCAUCUGGAAUACAGGUAGCACUUGUUGCCCAGGCAGUACCGCCACAGGCCCUGGUGGGCGAAGGACCCUGACAGCCGGUACUGCAUCCAGUGGUCUGUUGCCAUGGCCACCACCAGGAGGAUGGUCCCCACCCAGGCACAGAACAGGCCACCACCCAUGAAGCUGUACAUGCGUUCCUUCACCGGGAUCUUCAUUGUCCCAUGUUGGGCGCCAGGAAUGCUGGGGUGAUCAGACCCAGCACCAGGCCAUGGGGGCUACAAAGUCUGGCAGAGUCAAAGGAAUGAGAAAAGACAAGUUAAAAGUGCAUAAGCAGUGAGAUCUCAGCCAGGCCAGAAAAAGCUGCCAUGCCAAAAGCGGCCGACACUAACUCCACGCGGUGCUCCUGGAAACGUCGGGCUCCCAGCUCCCAUGAGGCAGAAAACGGGCAUCUAUUCUUUUAACAUACCAAAUAUUUGAGCACUUACCACGCGUCGGGCACUGAUUUACAGCACAGAGUGAAACUAAGUCCCUGCCCUUGCCUUGCUGAGCUUGCAUUCCAUCUUGGAAGGAGGAACAGACAAUAAUUAGCAAAAGUACAAUGACUGAGGUAUACUGCGUUGAUCACGACCUUCACUCUUUCGGCCUGCAACACCUCCCCUCUUCCUGGGUCCAGGCCCCAGACCCCGCCACGCCUCCUCUUAACCUACAUGAUCAGGGCCAGGCAGAGGAAAAGAAGAGCCGUGAUGCCGAUUCCCAGAAACGCUCCGUUGGAGAAUGCCGUUGAGAUGAGUCCCUUCUUAUCUGCACACGGAGAGGGCAAGGAAACCCUGCCACACCCCGGCCCAGGUGUUAGGACUUCCCAUUGUGUUUUCCUGUCUACAUACAGAUGCCACGGGUCUGCUGUGUCCCUCCAAGCUCCUGCUCCAACCACAGGACCCUACUCUUUGCCCCAGUCAGCUUCUCCUCCAAGAACCUUGGCAUCCAGGCGGCCCCCUAACCUGGCAGCUGCAGGAUGGAUCCACUCUGG
rnacentral:lncRNA from 1 species